AGAGUUUGAUCCUGGCUCAGGAUGAACGCUAGCGGCAGGCCUAACACAUGCAAGUCGAGGGGUAACAGAGAGACGCUUGCUUCUUUGCUGACGACCGGCGCACGGGUGCGUAACGCGUAUACAAUCUGCCUUGUACUGGGGGAUAGCCUUUAGAAAUGAAGAUUAAUACCCCAUAGUAUGUUAAGUUCACAUGGACAUAACAUUAAAGGUUACGGUACAAGAUGAGUAUGCGUCCUAUUAGCUAGUUGGUGGGGUAAUGGCCUACCAAGGCAACGAUCAGUAGCCGGCCUGAGAGGGUGAUCGGCCACACUGGAACUGAGACACGGUCCAGACUCCUACGGGAGGCAGCAGUGGGGAAUAUUGGACAAUGGGCGCAAGCCUGAUCCAGCAACGCCGCGUGGAGGACGAAGGCUUUCGGGUCGUAAACUCCUGUCAGGUGGGAAGAAGGGUCGUCGAUGAAUAACCGGCGAUCUUGACGUACCACCAGAGAAGCCACGCUAACU
rnacentral:rRNA from 1 species